UAUCAAGCGCAUAAGGGCGUUAGGUGGAUGCCUUGGCAUUGAGAGGCGAUGAAGGACGUGGCAGGCUGCGAAAAGCCACGGGGAGCUGUCAACAAGCUUUGAUCCGUGGAUGUCCGAAUGGGGAAACCCACCGCAUUGCGGUAUUACAUUUUGAAUAUAUAGAAAUGUAAAGCGAACCUGGGGAACUGAAACAUCUAAGUACCCAGAGGAAAGGAAAUCGAAUGAGACUCCGUUAGUAGUGGCGAGCGAACGCGGACCAGGCCAGUAGUCUUUAAGUAAAAACCAGAACUGUUUGGAAAAGCAGGCUAUAGUGGGUGAUAGCCCCGUAUGGGUAAAAAGCUUAAAGAUUCUAGAGUAGGGCGGGACACGAGAAAUCCUGUCUGAACACGGGGGGACCACCCUCCAAGCCUAAGUACUCCUCAGUGACCGAUAGUGAACAAGUACCGUGAGGGAAAGGUGAAAAGCACCCCGAUGAGGGGAAUGAAAUAGACCUGAAACCAAACGCCUACAAGCAGUCGGAGCGAAACGAGGCAACUCGGGUUCGUGACGGCGUACCUCUUGCAUAAUGGGUCAGCGAGUUCGUUUAUGUAGCAAGCUUAAGCCGAUAGGUGUAGGCGCAGCGAAAGCGAGUCUGAAUAGGGCGAUAAGUUACAUGAAUGAGACCCGAAACCGAGUGAUCUAGCCAUGGGCAGGCUGAAGGUGCGGUAACACGUACUGGAGGGCCGAACCCACGUUUGUUGCAAAAAAUGGGGAUGACCUGUGGCUAGGGGUGAAAGGCUAAUCAAACUCGGAAAUAGCUGGUUCUCCGCGAAAUCUAUUUAGGUAGAGCGUCGUGUAUUACUACCGGGGGUAGAGCACUGGAUGGGCUAGGGGGGAGCGAUCCUUACCAAACCCAACCAAACUCCGAAUACCGGUAAGUACAGCACGGCAGACAGACUAUGGGUGCUAAGGUCCGUAGUCAAAAGGGAAACAGCCCUCACCGCCAGCUAAGGUCCCCAAGUUAUGGUUAAGUGGGAAAGGAUGUGGGAAGACCAAGACAGCUAGGAGGUUGGCUUAGAAGCAGCCAUCCUUUAAAGAAAGCGUAAUAGCUCACUAGUCUAGACAAGUCGUCCUGCGCCGAAAAUGUAACGGGGCUAAAACCAUACACCGAAGCUGCGGCUGCAUCUACGUCAGUGGAUGCGGGGUAGCGGAGCGUUCUGUAAGCCUGUGAAGGUGUUCCGUAAGGAGCGCUGGAGGUAUCAGAAGUGAGAAUGCUGACAUAAGUAGCGUUAAAGCAGAGUGAGAAACUCUGCCACCGAAAGUCCAAGGGUUCCUGCGCAAGGUUAAUCCGCGCAGGGUAAGCCGGCCCCUAAGGCGAGGUCGAGAGACGUAGUCGAUGGGAAUGAGGUUAAUAUUCCUCAGCUUGCUUAGAGUGACGAAGGCCGAAAGUUGUUCGUGGUUAUUGGAUUCUGCGAGCAGCCUGGGACUUCCAGGAAAUAACUCAAGCGUUAUAAACCGUACCCCAAACCGACACGGGUGGACUGGUAGAAUAUACCUAGGUGAUUGAGAGAAUGAUGUUGAAGGAACUCGGCAAAUUAACCCCGUAACUUCGGAAUAAGGGGUGCCUCUUCUUGGGCAACCAGGAGGGGGUGGCACAGAAUUGGGGGUGGCGACUGUUUAUCAAAAACACAGGGCUCUGCAAACUCGUAAGAGGAUGUAUAGGGUCUGACGCCUGCCCGGUGCUGGAAGGUUAAAAGGAGGAGUGCAAGCUCUGAAUUGAAGCCCCAGUAAACGGCGGCCGUAACUAUAACGGUCCUAAGGUAGCGAAAUUCCUUGUCGGGUAAGUUCCGACCCGCACGAAUGGCGUAACGACUUCCCCACUGUCUCCAACAUCAACUCAGCGAAAUUGGAUUCUCCGUGAAGAUACGGAGUACCCGCGGUUAGACGGAAAGACCCCGUGCACCUUUACUAUAACUUUGCAGUGGUGUUAGGGAGUGACUGUGUAGGAUAGGUGGGAGCCUAUGAAGCAGGAGCGCCAGCUCUUGUGGAGGCGUCCUUGAAAUACCACCCUGUCACUCUUUGACAUCUAACUGAGGUCCGUAACCCGGAUCCAGGACCCUGCAUGGUGGGUAGUUUGACUGGGGCGGUCGCCUCCCAAAGAGUAACGGAGGCGCGCGAUGGUAGGCUCAAGCUGGUCAGAAAUCAGCUGUUGAGUGCAAUGGCAAAAGCCUGCCUGACUGCAAGACUCACAAGUCGAGCAGAGACGAAAGUCGGUCAUAGUGAUCCGGUGGUCCCGAGUGGAAGGGCCAUCGCUCAACGAAUAAAAGGUACGCCGGGGAUAACAGGCUUAUCUCCCCCAAGAGUUCACAUCGACGGGGAGGUUUGGCACCUCGAUGUCGGCUCAUCACAUCCUGGGGCUGGAGAAGGUCCCAAGGGUUUGGCUGUUCGCCAAUUAAAGUGGUACGUGAGCUGGGUUCAGAACGUCGUGAGACAGUUCGGUCCCUAUCUGCCGUGGGUGUAGGAAAAUUGAGAGGACUUGUCCCUAGUACGAGAGGACCGGGAUGAACGCACCUCUGGUGUACCAGUUGUGGCGCCAGCCGCAUCGCUGGGUAGCUAAGUGCGGGCGAGAUAACCGCUGAAAGCAUCUAAGCGGGAAACUUUCCUCAAAACGAGUUUUCCCUAUGAGAGUCGUGGUAGACCACCACGUUGAUAGGUCAGGUGUGGAAGCGCUGUAAGGCGUGGAGCUAACUGAUACUAAUUUACUCCAUCGGCUUGAUAUC
rnacentral:rRNA from 1 species